ensembl:lncRNA
GAAGAGGGACGGGGAUAGGGUUUGGUAGUUAGCUAAAGAUGGACAGGGAUAGGGUUUGGCAGUUAGCUAAAGAGGGACUGUGCUAGGGUUUGGUAGUUAGCAAAGGAGAGACAGGGCUAGGCUUUGGAAGGUUUGCUAAAGAGGGACGGGGCUAGGGUUUGGUAGUUAGUUCAAGAGGGACGGGGCUAGGGUUUGGUAGUUAGUUCAAGAGGGACUGGGCUAGGGUUCGGUUGUUAGCUAAAGAGGGGCUAGGGUUUGGAAGUUAGUUCAAGAGGGAUGGGGCUAGGGUUUGGUAGUUAGCUGAAGAGUGGUGGGGCAAGGGUUUAGUAGUUAGCUGAAGAGGGACAGGGUUAGGGUUUGGUAGUAAGCUAAAGAGGGACAGGGCUAGGGGUUGGUAGGUAGCUGAAGAGGGAUUGGGCUAGGGUUUCUUAGUUAGCUGAUGAGG